rnacentral:rRNA from 1 species
UACGAAGGGGGCUAGCGUUGUUCGGAUUUACUGGGCGUAAAGGGCGCGUAGGCGGCGCGGUAAGUCACUUGGGAAAUCUCUGAGCUUAACUCAGAACGGCCAAGUGAUACUGCAGUGCUAGAGUGCAGAAGGGGCAAUCGGAAUUCUUGGUGUAGCGGUGAAAUGCGUAGAUAUCAAGAGGAACACCUGAGGUGAAGACGGGUUGCUGGGCUGACACUGACGCUGAAGCGCGAAAGCCAGGGGAGCAAACGGG